rnacentral:miRNA from 1 species
AACAUGGAGGUCUCUGUCUGACUUAGGACAGCCUAGCUAAGUCUGAUCGUUCCCCUCCAUACAGC